rnacentral:sRNA from 1 species
CACUACGGAGGCAAGUGGCUGCCGCAGCGGCAUUUCAUCAGAGGGAAUUAAUCAGAGCAGAUGAAGCGACAACCGAAAAAUAACGACGCGGCAUCUCUUAAAGACCUCGCCUCGCCUUAUCUCCUCAAUCGCCAGAGCCACAGCCGGCUUUCAGUGCGUGUCCGUGCCUCUUCCACGACCCGUUUGGUUGCAGCCUCUCCUCGUACGUACUCCUCGUAUACAUACAUACAUAUAUUAUUGAAAACUGGCGCUUGGAGCGACAUCAGCGGAAUGUCAUUGAGAGAUGUACGAUGCUUGUACGAGAAUCAGGGACCGGGAGCGGGAACGGGAACGGGAAUGAGGGAAUGCAAACAUGUCCGGUCUGACGUUUAUGAAAAGCCAUCCCAUCGCAGCAUCAAAGCCAAUUAAGAUACUGGACUCCACUCCCAAUACAAGCUCUAAAAAGGAAUACGCGGCUAAUUUCUGCGACAAAGCCGACAAACGAUCCAGCGUCCAGUGUCCAGUGUCUCUGGAGUCGAGAAGCGGCACUUUUGUCGCAAACACACAGGCCGUAAAAUUAAGAACUCUGAUUGGUAACAAAUGUUUUUGUUCAUUCGAGUGAUAAAAACGUAGCGAACCGAAAAGAUAUAAAAUUCUCUUUAGUGUCUUCCCAGCCCAGAGAUGAUAAAAUAUUUAAAUGAGCCGAACGAACGAACGAAAGAACGAACGAACGCCGAACGCAAAGGUUCUCUCUCGGACAUUUAGGAAAUCAGAGACCCAGAAGAGACCUUAAUGGCCGCGCGCACGCACUCGUAUUCGGACUUGGACUCGGAGUUGGAUUCUCAAAUGUGAGCAGAGCGGCCUCCUCCCUGGAUAUGGAGGACAUCGACAACCGACAGCCGACAACAGACAACCGUACAGUGGGUACCACAGCGACGGCGACUAAGACCAAGGGCAAAGUGUGAAACACCGACUGGGCGUAACGCCAAUAGCGCUCGCUCGUCGAUAACCACUGUAUCCGAAGUAAGUCGGUCGGCUGUCAUGAUUAAAUAAAACUCCAAUGCAAACGGUCCGGCUAGGAUAUUAAAUUACAGCCAUAACGGCUUUGGGAUUGACUCCGAGAGUGGAGAGUGGAAGGAGUGACAGGGGAGAGACAGAGGAGGAGGCAGAGACAAAGGUAAAGGCCAUGCCGGCAGGACAAGCAACCCAAAAGGCUUGUCUUGCCAGCGUCUUUUGGGCCCAAGCCGCAGGGCCCAAGCCCAAUCCAAAUCCAAGUCCAGGCCAACAGGCACUGCGACAGAUACACAGAUACACAGAUACAGAGGAAGAGAAAGAGCCACGACAAAAUCAUAAAAGACAUAAACAGUUGUAAAGACCCAAACCACAAAGGGCGUAGAAUCAAAAUUGAGCACUAAAACGUUAUCGAGGUCGUCUCAGAUUAACUAGCCUUUUGCUGUGUCGAUGACAGGACCGACGACACACUGGAUGUGGCCGGCCGGUAAGGCCAGGCAGGCGGACAGAUAUGCGAGCGUAACGCGUCGGUGGGACCUGGGACCUGAAACCUGGACCACGCAGGGGCAGGGGCAGGGGCAGGGGUCUGGUCUGCAGACAAGAUGACCUGCCUGCCGUGUAAUCCGGACCUGUCCUGCCCUGUCCCGUUCUGUUCCCCCCGCUGGCUGGACGGUGCCUCGUCGACGACCCACAACAGUGCUAUUGUGCGACAAGUUUGUCAUUCACAACCGUCUCGCCGAUAAGAAACCAUUACGAGUGUACGAAAGAGGAAAGGACUCUGUACAGAGAGAUCUUUCACUGAAUGGCGCCAGUUUCACAAUGAAUUCUGAUUCUGGCCAAAUUAUGGGAAUAUUUUCAGCCAUUGAUUCGUAGCGGGGUAUGCUGGAAGACCUCCAUAGAUGAGAAAUGAUAUGAAAGCAAGGGCUUCUUGUUUUAGAGAUGGCUGUGACUUGAAAUCCCACUGACAUCCCAAAAAUAUGCUGAUUUAUUUAUUGUACGAAUACUAGCAAUUUUUCAGCUACGAAAGUGGCUCAAUUUUAUGGGAUAUUAGGUACGAGUGUACUGUAUAUAAAAAUAUAAAUACCCACGUAAAAUAUUUUAGGUUAGCGUCACAUUUUUCUACCCCCAAUUGGAUUUUAUGAGACUCGCACAGGGCCAAGGCAUCGACGUUGAUUGCGGGGUGUAUCCAAGGAGGCACUCGUCCUAAUGCCUGGCCCUUUAAGGAACAUAAUUUCAUCCACGUGUCGGGGAUUACACAUUAACAUCGCUACUGUGUUCAUUUGGAGGGCGUGUCACUACAAGCGGCUGCUCUUAAUCUUCAUCCUUAGGAUAGGAAUCAAUUUAGUCAGGCAAUAAUUUCCGUCUCUCUGUAUACGAUACAUAUGUACGAGUAUGUACACUCGAAUGUAUUCUUAAAAUAAGUAAUGAUAUAGCCCUGUAGACGAUGAAUGUGUUGUCAAUUUGUAGCAUACAUAUAUGCAGAAUGUAUAAACCAUUAGAAAACGAUUAGACAAAAGAAAGUUGUGAUAUGUAAUUUCCAUAAGGGAAGUGUCAAAAAUUGACUAGCAGAAAAGUCAGGAUCGAGUGCGGAUCAAUCGGUUCUAAAUCGGUUCUAAAGGUUGUUAUGAAAUAAGUUAAGCGAACGAACAUAUUUAUUAAGAUCCAAUUGAAAAGGUCGUAGUUUACGCUGAGAAACAAGAGACGUUUUGUGUCAGAUUGUGUUCUCUUAUAUGUAUGCACAAAAAAACAUUGUGUCUGCGUCGAAGAAUGAGAGUUUGCUGGAACUAUGACCCAUCCCACUCUCUUCUCAUAUUUAAAUUCAAAUCGGCGCCGGCGCCACCUGUCAGUCCGUCGCUGUACUUUUGCACGAUCCGAUCCCCAUCGUGUACUUGCCUCACUUGCAUCCUGCCCCCCUUGCGACUCCUGAAGCUCUUCAGAAACGGGGAUCGCCAACGACGCGCAACUGCAGUGUGGCCCAAAGAAGAGAACGUUAAAAACAUUGUUCUCGUUAUACAGAAAUCAUGUCUGCUCCGCCCGGCCCGGCCCUUGGAGAUCGGUUCGGUCGUGGCCAGUACAAAAUGGCAAAAUGUACGAUCCGAUUGUGCAUGCGGGCCACACAGAAAUCAGGGUAGGGACAACGAAUGCUGGCGAUAAAAGUGCAGCAAAAGAUGUUUUCAUUGAGCAUUGAUACCAGGCUUCUAAUGACAUCUAUGCAGACCAGUCAGUCGGUUAUCUCUUUCCCCGCAGAGACUGUCCUAAACCGCAAUGACCCCGAUCGCCGCAGGAGCAUUGUCUGCUAGACUAUCGUCCCUGUCCAUUCAAACUACUUUCCAGACCAGGGACCAAAGACCAGAGACCAGAGACCAUAGGGACGAAGAGUAAAAACUAUACUCGUACGAGUAUACGAGCAUAAUCGUAUAAGGGGCCAAUGCCAAUGCGCCGACACCCCGCUGCGGUGUGAGCACACAGCCGCCUAUAAUUGAGUUAUACAUUCGUCUGGCUGGCCGACUGACCCCUGGUGGUGCCGGUACCUUCCCUCCGCCCUCUACCCUCUUUCCGAGGGUUCGCAGCAGCUUAGCGGACAAUGUUUUGACAUAAAUAAAUGCUUGAAUGACUUUAAGUGAUGGCAUUUUACGUUGACUUUCUAUACCCCAAAACAGUUUGGCAUGAUUUAUGGCGGACGAUCUGGCGAUCUGGCGACCUGGCGACUUCUUAGGAGAUUACUUUUGUAUACUAUCCAUACGAGGAGUAUGGAUUGUGCCUGUGGCAGACGGGGGAUGCGGAUGCUCCUGAUGCUAAUUCGUGGUUCAGGUAGUAAGCGGAACACAAUAUUUUUCCCAUCCGCUGCCAUUUAUCGGUCCGCUUUCUGACAGGAUACUAUGUCUUAUUAUAACGCAGAUGAUACUGUUACUUCACAUC